rnacentral:rRNA from 1 species
GAACGCGCACGGAGCAAUCCAUAUGAGUGGCGGACGGGUGAGUAACACGUGGGUACCUACCCUAUGGUGAGGAAUACCGGCGAGAAAUCGCCGUACAAUACCUGCAUACGUGGUCUGUCGGAAACAAAGCCCGCAAGGGCGCCAGAGGAAGGGCCUGCGGCCGAUUAGCUAGUUGGUGGGGUAAAAGCCUACCAAGGCAACGAUCGGUAGCUGGUCUGAGAGGAUGGUCAGCCACACUGGGAUUGAGAACGGCCCAUACUCCUACGGGGGGCAGCAGUGAGGAAUUUUCGUCAAUGGGGGCAACCCUGAACGAGCAACGCCGCGUGCAGGAAGAAGGUGUUCGGAUCGUAGACUGCUUUUCUCUGGGACGAGAACGGACGGUACCAGAGGAAUCAGCCCCGGCUAACUACGUGCCAGCAGCCGCGGUAAU